GGGCUCGUGGUCCAGCUUGGAUAAGACACAGGCCUGCGGAGCCUGUAACCCGGGUUCGAAUCCCGGCGAGCCCGCCA
rnacentral:tRNA from 1 species